AGGACGAACGCUGGCGGCGUGCUUAACACAUGCAAGUCGAACGGAAAGGCCCUUCGGGGUACUCGAGUGGCGAACGGGUGAGUAACACGUGAGCAAUCUGCCCCUAGCUCUGGGAUAGCUCCGGGAAAACCGGGAUUAAUACCAGAUAUUACUACGGCCGACAUCAGCUGUGGUGGAAAGAAUUUCGGCUAGGGAUGAGCUCGCGGCCUAUCAGCUUGUUGGUGGGGUAAAGGCCCACCAAGGCGACGACGGGUAGCCGGCCUGAGAGGGCGACCGGCCACACUGGGACUGAGACACGGCCCAGACUCCUACGGGAGGCAGCAGUGGGGAAUAUUGCGCAAUGGGCGAAAGCCUGACGCAGCGACGCCGCGUGCGGGAUGAAGGCCUUCGGGUUGUAAACCGCUUUCAGCAGGGACGAAGCGAAAGUGACGGUACCUGCAGAAGAAGCGCCGGCUAACUACGUGCCAGCAGCCGCGGUAA
rnacentral:rRNA from 1 species